AGUGAACGCUGGCGGUAGGCCUAACACAUGCAAGUCGAACGGCAGCACAGUAAGAGCUUGCUCUUACGGGUGGCGAGUGGCGGACGGGUGAGGAAUACAUCGGAAUCUACUUUUUCGUGGGGGAUAACGUAGGGAAACUUACGCUAAUACCGCAUACGACCUACGGGUGAAAGCAGGGGAUCUUCGGACCUUGCGCGAUUGAAUGAGCCGAUGUCGGAUUAGCUAGUUGGCGGGGUAAAGGCCCACCAAGGCGACGAUCCGUAGCUGGUCUGAGAGGAUGAUCAGCCACACUGGAACUGAGACACGGUCCAGACUCCUACGGGAGGCAGCAGUGGGGAAUAUUGGACAAUGGGCGCAAGCCUGAUCCAGCCAUACCGCGUGCGCGAAGAAGGCCUUCGGGUUGUAAAGCCCUUUUGUUGGGAAAGAAAAGCAGCAGGUUAAUACCCCGCUGUUCUGACGGUACCCAAAGAAUAAGCACCGGCUAACUUCGUG
rnacentral:rRNA from 1 species